GCUGGCGUGGCUCAGUGGUAGAGCAGUCGAUUCGUAAUCGACAGGUCGGGGGUUCAAAUCCCCCCGCCAGCUCCA
rnacentral:tRNA from 1 species